rnacentral:lncRNA from 10 species
CGUUUCUUACCCAUUUUUCCAUUGGAUAGUUGGUCUUUCCAUCUGCUUUGGAAUCAUCUUCAGGCAGACUUUCAUCCCCAACAUUUCACUGAAAUUCCUUCUUUUGAGGUCACUAUUGAUGUCCACAUUGCCCAAUCCCCAGGCCAGCUCUUGGUUCUUAUUGGAUGUUCUCAGCAGCAUGUGACACAGCUGGGUGGCUGCUGCUUCUCGAGUCUUUCUUUAACAGCUUCUGUCUCUUCCGUGGUUUCCUUCUUAACUUCCAGAAACUCUCAAUGCCCUUGAUGGAUUUUCCUUAUUUCUUCAACCUCUAAACAUCUGAAUUUCCAGGGCUCAGUUACCUUCUCUCUGAGUGUUGACCCGUAGACCCUUUAUCCAGGUCUUCAGUAGCCUCCUGGCAGGUUUCCUGCAAAGGGUCUCGAUGUGUAAGAUCAAACGAUCAACUAUAAAGACGUGUUCUAGAUGAAGAGGUUGUCUAUGGUCUUACUCUGCUACACAUGCUGGAAUGCAGUGACGCAAUCAUAGCUCACUGCAGCCUCGACCUCCUGGGCUCAAGCAAUCCUCCCACCUCAGCUUCCCGAGUGACUGGGAGCACAGGUAUGUACCAUUACCACCACGCCUGGCUAAUUUUUAAAUUUUCUGUAGAGAUGGGGUCUAUGUUGCCCAGGUUGGUCUCGAACAUCUGGGCUCAAGUGAUUUACCCACCUUGGCCUCCCAAAGUGCUGGGAUUACAGGUGUGAGCUACCAUACCUGGCCUUCGUUUAUAUUUUCAUACAGAAGGGUAAAUCAUUUAAAUAGUGGGGUGCAACUGUCCACAAAAGCAAUAGGAGUAAUUCAUUGAGAAGCUUUCUGCCCCCAUGAGGCACCAGUCUUCCUUCCUUCCUUCCCUC